UCAUAGUGAUCCGGUGGUUCUGAAUGGAAGGGCCAUCGCUCAACGGAUAAAAGGUACUCCGGGGAUAACAGGCUGAUACCGCCCAAGAGUUCAUAUCGACGGCGGUGUUUGGCACCUCGAUGUCGGCUCAUCACAUCCUGGGGCUGAAGUAGGUCCCAAGGGUAUGGCUGUUCGCCAUUUAAAGUGGUACGCGAGCUGGGUUUAGAACGUCGUGAGACAGUUCGGUCCCUAUCUGCCGUGGGCGCUGGAGAACUGAGGGGGGCUGCUCCUAGUACGAGAGGACCGGAGUGGACGCAUCACUGGUGUUCGGGUUGUCAUGCCAAUGGCACUGCCCGGUAGCUAAAUGCGGAAGAGAUAAGUGCUGAAAGCAUCUAAGCACGAAACUUGCCCCGAGAUGAGUUCUCCCUGACU
rnacentral:rRNA from 1 species